rnacentral:rRNA from 1 species
GCCGGGGGCACCCUGGUGGCGAGUGGCGAACGGGUGAGUAAUACAUCGGAACGUGUCCUGUAGUGGGGGAUAGCCCGGCGAAAGCCGGAUUAAUACCGCAUACGAUCUACGGAGGAAAGCGGGGGAUCUUCGGACCUCGCGCUGCAGGGGCGGCCGAUGUCAGAUUAGCUAGUUGGUGGGGUAAAGGCCUACCAAGGCGACGAUCUGUAGCUGGUCUGAGAGGACGACCAGCCACACUGGGACUGAGACACGGCCCAGACUCCUACGGGAGGCAGCAGUGGGGAAUUUUGGACAAUGGGGGCAACCCUGAUCCAGCAAUGCCGCGUGUGUGAAGAAGGCCUUCGGGUUGUAAAGCACUUUUGUCCGGAAAGAAAACUUCGUCCCUAAUAUGGAUGGAGGAUGACGGUACCGGAAGAAUAAGCACCGGCUAACUACGUGCCAGCAGCCGCGGUAAUACGUAGGGUGCGAGCGUUAAUCGGAAUUACUGGGCGUAAAGCGUGCGCAGGCGGUCUGUUAAGACCGAUGUGAAAUCCCCGGGCUUAACCUGGGAACUGCAUUGGUGACUGGCAGGCUAGAGUGUGGCAGAGGGAGGUAGAAUUCCACGUGUAGCAGUGAAAUGCGUAGAGAUGUGGAGGAAUACCGAUGG